rnacentral:rRNA from 1 species
UAGGGAAUCUUCGGCAAUGGACGGAAGUCUGACCGAGCAACGCCGCGUGAGUGAAGAAGGUUUUCGGAUCGUAAAGCUCUGCUGUAAGAGAAGAACGAGUGUGAGAGUGGAAAGUUCACACUGUGACGGUAUCUUACCAGAAAGGGACGGCUAACUACGUGCCAGCAGCCGCGGUAAUACGUAGGUCCCGAGCGUUGUCCGGAUUUAUUGGGCGUAAAGCGAGCGCAGGCGGUUAGAUAAGUCUGAAGUUAAAGGCUGUGGCUUAACCAUAGUAGGCUUUGGAAACUGUUUAACUUGAGUGCAAGAGGGGAGAGUGGAAUUCCAUGUGUAGCGGUGAAAUGCGUAGAUAUAUGGAGGAACACCGGUGGCGAAAGCGGCUCUCUGGCUUGUAACUGACGCUGAGGCUCGAAAGCGUGGGGAGCAAACAGGAUUAGAUACCCUGGUAGUCCACGCUGUAAACGAUGAGUGCUAGGUGUUAGACCCUUUCCGGGGUUUAGUGCCGUAGCUAACGCAUUAAGCACUCCGCCUGGGGAGUACGACCGCAAGGUU